rnacentral:rRNA from 1 species
CCUACGGGAGGCAGCAGUGGGGAAUAUUGCACAAUGGGCGAAAGCCUGAUGCAGCAACGCCGCGUGAAGGAAGAAGGGUUUCGGCUCGUAAACUUCUGUCAACAGGGACGAAAGAAAUGACGGUACCUGAAUAAGAAGCCCCGGCUAACUACGUGCCAGCAGCCGCGGUAAUACGUAGGGGGCAAGCGUUAUCCGGGAUUACUGGGUGUAAAGGGAGCGUAGACGGCAUGGUAAGCCAGAUGUGAAAGCCUGGGGCGUAACCCGAGGACUGCUCUUGGAACUGUAUAGCUAGAGUACAGGAGAGG